rnacentral:misc_RNA from 1 species
CACGAACCGUACGAACGUUAUCCGGAAUUAUUGGGCGUAAAGCGCGCGUAGGCGGUCUGUUAAGUCUGAUGUGAAAGCCCCCGGCUCAACCGGGGAGGGUCAUUGGAAACUGGCAGACUUGAGUACAGAAGAGGAGAGCGGAAUUCCACGUGUAGCGGUGAAAUGCGCAGAGAUAUGGAGGAACACCAGUGGCGAAGGCGGCUCUCUGGUCUGCAACUGACGCUGAGGUGCGAAAGCGUGGGGAUCAAACAGG